rnacentral:rRNA from 1 species
GACGAACGCUGGCGGCGUGCCUAAUACAUGCAAGUAGAACGCUGAAGGAGGAGCUUGCUUCUCUGGAUGAGUUGCGAACGGGUGAGUAACGCGUAGGUAACCUGCCUGGUAGCGGGGGAUAACUAUUGGAAACGAUAGCUAAUACCGCAUAAUAUUGACUAUUGCAUGAUAGUCAGUUGAAAGGUGCAACUGCACCACUACCAGAUGGACCUGCGUGGGAUUAGCUAGUUGGUGGGGUAACGGCUCACCAAGGCGACGAUGCAUAUCCGACAGGAGAGGGUGGUCGGCCACACUGGGAGGGAGACACGGCCCAGACUGCUUCGGGAGGCAGCAGUAGGGAAACGUCGGCAAUGGGCGGAAAUCUGACCGAACAAGGCCGCGUGAGUAAAGAGGGUUGUCGGAUCGUAAAGCUCUGUUGUAAGAGAAGAACGAGUGUGAGAGUGGAAAGCUCACACUGUGACGGUAUCUGACCAGAAAGCGACGGCUAACUACGUG